GUCCGGUCCGGUCCGGUCCGGUCCUGUCCCGUCCCGUCUCUCGCUAACCAGUUCAGGUGCAGCUGUGCGUGAAAUGGACCCGUGUGGAUCUCGACUGCUUGGCUGUGCUCUUCUUCUCUCCUCCAGUCCGAAUGUAACGAUCACAGGACAGUGCUGGAGCCCAUCUCGGCAUCGGAAGGCAGGAAGCAUCCUGUACAGGUUGCCAGUCUAUUUCAGGGCAGACGCACAGACUGAGAGACGAGAGCGCUACCCACUGCACCACCAUGCUGCCAACUGUAAUGCUUGCAGAUGUUUUUUCUAACUCCUAGGCCUUUUUCUAACCAGUAGACCUUCUCUUCACUUUGGGAAACUGUAGAUACUCUCAUCCUUAACCAUGUUCUCCAGUUUUCAGUGCACGUGUGACAUUCACCAAGAGAAUGGUACAGGUCAGAAUACUUCACCCCUUACAUUGAGUGGCUCUGUUAUGCUAUCAGGGGCAUUUCACCGGCAUGGUUUGAGUCCAGUUGUCCACGUCCACAUGGAUGAGGGGUCACUGAACGGUUUGAUGGAAGUCAAAUUGAUGCAAGUCAUACGCUAUAGCCUUUGCAGUCAGGAGAGCUCAACCCAGGACCACCAUCAUCAAAAGAACAAUUAAGGGGAUAUCUUCUGAAAGAGCAGCGUUCCACUCCUUCAGAACAGUUCCACAGACUUGUAGAAUCCACGCCAAGGUGCACUGAAGCUAUUCUGGCAGUGUAUUAUGACCCCUGACCCCUUAUUAAGACAGUAUUUAUUUUUCUCCUUUAAUUUGUUGCACAUUUAUUUCCUCAUUUAGAAAACAUCAGCUAAAUAGAACAUCCCCAAAGUACAGAUAACCCAAAGUGCCUAGAUCUGCUGUGUGGUGUGAAUUGCCCAGUUGACUUGAAUCCACAUUAUUAAUUUCUUCAUAAGUAAAUUGUUGAGACAUAAACUAAUUCAGAGUAGUUUAAUGUGAAAGGCUCUGUUCUAGACAAGCUGUUCUGCUCAGCAACCAGACAUCUGAAACGUUUAAUGGCUCUAGAAGUGAGCUCACAGAAAGUGGUUUCAUUUCCACUGCCUCAUGUUUUACCAUAGUUACAAAAGUACAACGUGGUCCUUAAGGUCCAAUGGUACAUCUCAUUAAAUGCACACCUCAUUCACUUUCCCAGGUUUAAAAUGCACGUAACUCACUGGGGUCUAAGGAUAUUUUCUCGAUUUUUGCAUAUUGGAUUAAAUUUGCCUUUAAAGGCACUUGCGUUUUACGUGAUACUCAUAUGUUUCAAACCUAAAUGCUCCAUUAUCUUCAGCACAACUUUCCCAAACCGCUGCAGACGUAACCGGUUUGCACUCUUUUUGCAUGUGUCUGAUGUCCUGUGAUGGGAAAGUCUGUAGUGAUUCAUGAUGUGCAUCUCAACCAACCCCUCUUUACAGCCUCAUAACCCUGGAUGUGAGUCACGUACCAUCUCAAGUGAAUAUGGAAUCGAGAAGGAAGAUUGUACAAAUUCAUGAAAUGUUUGAGCCAUAUUUCUACACUGUGUUCUUACAAGCUUAGAGAAACACAGAAACGUGGAUUUUGAUGUCUGGGUGAGUUUAUGGACCCCAGGAGUUAAUGAAACAGAAUAUGGUAUAUUGGUACAAUUAGAAGCCCUUCCUGGUAACGUGAGUGUGUUAAAGCAGGUAAAACACAAAAAUAUUCAAGGCAGGACACUUCAGGACCACAGCUGCAAACUAGCUGCCUCAAUCAAUCCUGUUCACUGUAUCCUAGAUGAGUGACUCAGUUCUAGUUCUGGGGUUCCACUGGUCUACUCAGUUUCUUCUAUUCCUUGGCCCAACACAUCUCAAAGUCAUUAUCAAGUCCUCUUGAUAUCCAGGAGCCUCUAAAUGCAAGAGGCCUCAGGAAGCCUCAGAGCAGAGGACAGUCCACUGGAUGUGCUGAACAUAUGAUGACUAAAUAAAGGAAAUGAAGAUCCCUCAGAUCAUAGCCCAUCACUAAAUAGAUAAAUAUAACUAAAUAUAAAAAAUUCAAGAGUGCAGAAAUAUUUACUUAUAUAUACGUAAUAUCUGGGCUGCAUCCAGAAACCCUGAAAGUUACAGCUUUUUCCUGCGGAUCCUCCUCCUUUCCUCCGUGACCUGGAAAACGAUUUCACAUGCCAGAGUAUACUUCCGAGUAUACAGAUUUUAGAGUGACAUCACUGCAGACACACAACCAGAGAGGAUGGAUAGAUGCAGAGAUCCAGCUAUACUUUAAAUUCCAUGUUUUAUUUGAGAUUAUAUAAAUUCUGUGUUGCGUAAAAAAAGCACACAAACGUGAACAGGCUGGCUCUGUGUAGCAGCUUAGGGUGAAUGUUGUGAUUGGCUCAUUUUGCCAGUAGUCAACAUUAAAUUUAAUGGCAUUUAACGGAAUCGGCUGUCCAUGACCACCCCCCCCCUCCUUUCCUCUCCUUUAUCACUCCGCGUUCUUCUGGGGGAGGAGCAGCAGGAUGGGGGCAGUACCAAAAGGUUCUGGAUGCAGCUCUAGAACAAGCAUAUAGGACGGUGGGUUCCAUGGACUGAAGUUGAGAACUACUCAUUUAAUACAUGUACUGCAUGUAUGUGUAUGUAUUUACCCACAACACGUUUAAUAAAUUUGGAAGCCCAAGUCUUUAAUUAUUACAUGCAUGUAAAAAAUGAAAAAUCUAGUUAAAGAAGCACAAACCUGAGUAGUGAGUCCAUAAGUGGUUACUAUGCUGUGCUUCCACCACGUAUUGUGACAGCUAGCUGCCCUUUUCCAGGUUGCCUACAUAACCAAAAAUUCAUUCACAUGGCAGAAAAAAUAAGACAGGAUAAAAGAGUCCAUGUGACUUUAUGAAACUGUUUUGUUCUUGGUUUUUUUGUAAACUGGGUGGCUGUUGAUUCUAUGGACAAGUUCUAAAUGUAGACCAAUGAGCUGGUCAUCGGUACAUUAAAACAGCAACCAUGUGUUUCCAGUAUA